AUGGGGAACCACCGAGACAGGCCAGGACCCCGUACCCCCGACCAGACACCACACCACCGCCCUCUCGCCGCCGCGCCUCCGACCCAAGCCAAGCCACACCGCCCGCCGUCGCAGGGGGCGGCCACUCCGAUGAUGAUGGCGGGGCCGUACCACCAGCCGACCACCCUGGAGGAGGUCCGCACGCUCUGGAUCGGCGACCUCCAGUACUGGGCCGACGAGAACUACCUCUACGGCUGCUUCGCGCACACCGGCGAGGUACAAUCCGUAAAAUUAAUACGCAACAAAUUAUCUGGUCUCCCAGAAGGCUAUGGAUUCAUUGAAUUCAUUUCACACGAAGCUGCUGAGAAAGUUCUACAGGCUUAUAAUGGCGCACAAAUGCCUGGAACUGAGCAUACAUUCAGAUUGAACUGGGCAUCGUUCAGCUCUGGUGAGAAGCGUCCGGAUGCAGGACCUGACCAUUCAAUUUUUGUAGGAGACUUGGCACCUGAUGUCACAGAUUACUUACUACAAGAGACUUUCCGAGUGAACUAUUCAUCUGUUAGGGGGGCCAAGGUUGUCACAGAUCCAAAUACUGGGAGAUCUAAAGGAUAUGGAUUUGUAAAGUUUGCAGAUGAAAAUGAGAAGACCCGUGCAAUGUCAGAAAUGAAUGGUGUGUAUUGCUCAACAAGACCUAUGCGGAUAAGUGCUGCAAUUCCUAAGAAAUCAUCUGGAUCUCAGCUUCAGUAUGGAGCUGCUAAAGCCAUGUACCCCGCAACAGCUUAUGCAAUUCCGCAGGCCCAAACAGUUCUACCAGAUAGUGAUCCUACAAACACUACGAUAUUUAUUGGUAACUUGGACCCAAACGUGACGGAAGAGGAGCUGAGGCAGAUUUGCGUGCAGUUUGGGGAGCUUAUAUAUGUAAAAAUUCCAGUUGGUAAAGGAUGUGGAUUUGUACAAUAUGCAUCUAGGGCAUCAGCUGAAGAGGCUGUGCAGCGUCUUCAUGGCACAGUGAUUGGUCAACAGGUGGUUAGACUUUCAUGGGGCAGAAGUCCUGCCAAUAAGCAGGAUCAAUCAGCAGCCUGGGGUCAGCAGACAGAUCCUAAUCAAUGGAGUGCUUAUUAUAGCUAUGGAUAUGAUCCAUAUGGGUAUCCUCAGGACCCAUCAUAUGCAUAUGGUGCUUAUGCAGGAUAUGCCCAGUAUCCCCAACAGGUUGAGGGAGCAACCGAUAUGGCAUCAGCAGCUGGUGGCCAUGCCCCAGGCAUGGAACAAAAUGAGGUGUGUGAUCCAAUGAGCUUACCUGACGUCGAGAAGCUGAACGCUUCAUACAUGGCGGUUCAUGGUAGCGCGAUGCUAGGACGCCACCUGUGGCUGAAGACCUCACCAUUGUCUCAGUCGGCUUGA
rnacentral:rRNA from 1 species